rnacentral:rRNA from 1 species
GACGAACGCUGGCGGCGUGCUUAACACAUGCAAGUCGAACGGAAAGGCCUCUUUCGGGGGGUACUCGAGUGGCGAACGGGUGAGUAACACGUGAGUAACCUGCCCUUGACUUUGGGAUAACUUCAGGAAACUGGGGCUAAUACCGGAUAGGAGCUCCUGCUGCAUGGUGGGGGUUGGAAAGUUUCGGCGGUUGGGGAUGGACUCGCGGCUUAUCAGCUUGUUGGUGGGGUAGUGGCUUACCAAGGCUUUGACGGGUAGCCGGCCUGAGAGGGUGACCGGCCACAUUGGGACUGAGAUACGGCCCAGACUCCUACGGGAGGCAGCAGUGGGGAAUAUUGCACAAGGGGUGGAAGCCGGAUGCAGCAACGCCGUGUGCGGGAUGACGGCCUUCGGGUUGUAAACCGCUUUCGCUCAUGACGAAGCUUUGUGUGACGGUAGUGGGUAAAGAAGCACCGGCUAACUACGUG